UCACCUAUGUCUGUGUGAGCCUGGGUUGGCCUUGGAAUUUGAUUUUCUCCUUGGAGCAGAAGGAUACUUAUAAGACAAAAUGCAGGAUAUGAUGGCUUCCCAGACAGUGAUCAUCAGACAGCAGCAGGAGAAAACAGACAAGUAUGCUCAGCAGUGCGCUCAGCACCUGCACCAUGAGCUGCUUCUCAGCGGAACCUGUGAAGACACCACAAGCCCUACCAGAGA